rnacentral:snRNA from 1 species
AGAUCCUCGAAGGCCUCUUGGCUAAGAUCAUGUGUAGUUUCUGUUCUUUAUAGUUUGACAGCUGUAAGUGCCGCCAAGGCACAUUUCCUGUCAUCCCGAUUUUUGCAACCGGAGCGGUGUCCAGCGCAACACAGGCGCCGCGUGGGUGUCCCUUGCACUGCAGUACUGCUUGGCGAUGCCCAAAUUGC